rnacentral:rRNA from 1 species
AUUGAACGCUGGCGGCAGGCCUAACACAUGCAAGUCGAGCGAGCGGCGGACGGGUGAGUAAUGUCUGGGAAACUGCCUGCUGGCGGGGGAUAACUACUGGAAACGGUAGCUAAUACCGCAUACCAUCAGAUGUGCCCACAUGGGAUUAGCUAGUAGGUGGGGUAACGGCCCACCUAGGCGACGAUCCCGAGCUGGUCUGAGAGGAUGACCAGCCACACUGGGACUGAGACACGGUACAGACUCCUACGGGAGGCAGCAGGGGGGAAUAGUGCAGAAUGGGUGGGGGCCUGAGGCAGCCAGGCGGCGUGUGUGAGGAAGGCCUUCGGGUUGUAAAUCACGUUCAGCGGGGAGGCGUUACCCGGAGAAGAAGCACCGGCUAACUCCGGGCCAGCAGCCGCGGUAAUAC